GUCAUACUUUUUUUGGGGUCCCAGAAAUCUGGAAAGCAGCUUGUGUACAUCACAAAAUGAAGCAAUAAACAAAGUAAAAAGCAACUCAGAACACAGGACAAAGCAGUUCUUAAUGCAGAUGGGCUACAAGAGAAGAAUCUGAAACUACAGUGGACGCAGGAACAACAAAACUAGACAUCGGCUGGUCUCCACGAUAGAUUUAUAGCUACAGAUAACCAGCAGUUAUAGCCUACAGCCUGAUGUAGAUCUCUGAUGCCAGUUCACCAUCCCACCUCUGAGAAUCCAGGAUCCUGUUUCGCCACUGCUACAGUUUACAUAUUGUAGGUUAACCCUAAAUAACUUGCUAGUCAGGUGGUAUUAGCUGUGGGCCAUUGUUGUCUAUGUUUCAGGUGACGCCCACAGGCGAAAAAGGGGUUACACAAGCAACAUAAACUGCAUCAUCGUCGGCUUAAUUGUCGAUGAACACCUCAAAAGAAUUCAUAAAACCGACGACACCACCAUCGACACCACCUACUGCAUCAACCAGAGCCUCGACAUGAUUACCAAACCUCUGACCAUAGAAGACUUUCUCCUGAAAAUAGGACAGUGAAGAUGUGGUAGUUUAGUGGUUAAGGAGUUUGGAAGGUUGUGAGUUCAAAUCCCAGGUCCACCAAUCUGCCACUCCCGGGCGCCUGAGCAAGGCUCUUAACACUCAAUUGCUAUGUAUAAAAUGUAAGUCAUGCUUAUGGGCAUCUUCCAAAUGACAUAAAUGUAAAUGUGACGAUACCCAUUAAAAAAAAUAAAUAAAUUAAAAAAAUGUCCAGUCCAACCCAUCAAACUCUACUUCCUGUCACUGAAAGUCCUUAGAUGAAAAUGUAUAUGAUCAAUGUCCAAUUUAUUUCAGGUCUUGUUAUUAAUUAAACAAACUAUGCACGUUACCUCA